GACGAACGCUGGCGGCGUGCUUAACACAUGCAAGUCGAACGGAAAGGCCCUGCUUGCAGGGUGCUCGAGUGGCGAACGGGUGAGUAACACGUGGGCGAUCUGCCCCUUACUUUGGGAUAAGCCUGGGAAACUGGGUCUAAUACUGGAUAGGACCAUGCUGUAGGUGGUGUGGUGGAAAGAUUAGUUUCGGUAAGGGAUGAGCUCGCGGCCUAUCAGCUUGUUGGUGGGGUAAUGGCCUACCAAGGCGUCGACGGGUAGCCGGCCUGAGAGGGUGGACGGCCACAUUGGGACUGAGAUACGGCCCAGACUCCUACGGGAGGCAGCAGAGGGGAAUAUUGCACAAUGGGCGCAAGCCUGAUGCAGCGACGCCGCGUGGGGGAUGACGGCCUUCGGGUUGUAAACUCCUUUCAGCCAUGACGAAGCCCUUGUGGUGACGGUAGUGGUAGAAGAAGCACCGGCUAACUACGUG
rnacentral:rRNA from 1 species